UUUUUUUUUUUUUUUUUUUGGCCUUGCUUGCAGCAUGUGGAGGUUCCCAGGCCAGGGACUGAAACAGAGCCACAGCAGUGACCUGAGCCACAGCAGUGACAAUGCCCAAUCGUUAACCCACUGAGUCAUGGGGACUCCGAAAACAAAAUCUUAGCAGACCAAAACACAACUGGAGACACAAAGAACAGCAGACACGCAUUUACACCAGGACUGAACGGACGGCUCCACGGCAUCAGAAAGCCCCCGAGCUGCAUGAGGGUGCUGGACGGGGCAGAGGGGGAAAGUCACAGGACGCUCUGAGAGGCUCUCCCCCCGGCCCCUCGGCCCUCCCACCUUUCCAGCAGAAUCCUGGUGGUGCACAGCGACCGCCUCCCCCGCCCAGCAGCCCAGGAGAGGCUCAACCCUCGCUCCAAAGUUAGGCCUGCUUAGCGGGCACGGAGCUAAGCCACGUCCUCCCCACUGGCCGGCUCAGCAAUGAGCAAGCAGAUGAGCAGGGAAGCGGCUUCUAAGAAAGCCCCCCCGCCACCCACGCCCUUGGGAACUCUGCUGGGAGGGCUCUGCCCGGGUCAGCUGGCAGGCUGGGACUGCAGCAGCUGCCUAGCAGCCAACCAACCUGAGGACGAAGCCAGCAGAGAGGCAGGCAGAACCAGGAGAUGGGCGGGAACCGAACCCCGGGGCUCCGAGUUCAGCAGGACGGCCAGAUACAAGGUUCGAAAACCAACAGCUUUUCUCUACUGACAAAAAAAUACGUCGAAAAUGCUGCAGGCGUAGGCUUGAUAAGAGGGCCGCGCGUGUGAGGUUUCACCUAAAGACAGAAAGAGGCAGAGGCAAGCACCGAGCCCGCGGUCUGACGGCCUCACUGCCUCGGCGCACUCGCCUCCGCGCCAGGGACACAGCCCUGGCGAAGCCACAGCGGGACCAAGGGCGCAGAAGCAGAGCAAAGGGCCCAUGAAACCCUCAGUGGGAAGCUGAGCCUCGUCGGGAAGGCCUCCUCGAGCACAGGAUGAGCCAGGGAAGCCCGGCGGCGGAGCGGAGGCCCCAGGCGAGGCGGGGCUGGAGGCAGAACACUCUGGGCAGCCGAGGCCAAGCCUUAGCCGCAGUGUGGAAGCAGAUCAGAGGGACCAGCGGUCCUCAGGAGCCCACUCAAUGGCCUGCUUUCGAAGCCCGGUGCACGAGUGACAGUGGCCAGGACUGCGACCACCGUGAAAGAAGAGAAAUGGCCAAAGAGAGCUGUAGGAGGUAAAAGCAAGAAGACACAAAAAUUACUGGAUGUAAGCCUCGAAAUAAUAAUGCUGUCAACUGUCACGUAAUCUUUGGGAGUUCCCUGGUGGCUCGGCAGGUUAAGGAUCCAGAGUCGUCACUGUUGUGGCGCAGGUUCAACCCCUGGCCCAGGAAUUUCCAAGUGCUAUAGGGGCAGCCAAAAAAAAAAAAAAAAAGAAAACAGACCUUUAAAAAAAACCCUUAAAUCCAAUGCAAAGCCCACCGAAGUUCUAAUAGGACAGAACACUGAGUUUUCAGUGUUCCGAAACUCAGAAGUUUGACCCCUAGUUCAUCGGGAAGAGCAAAUACACAAGAGCAGCCAGUAAAGCCUCCAGCAGGAAUAAUGCGAAAGACGUGAGAGUACGUGCACUAGCGCUACAGCAACGCAGACAUGUGGCUUCCAAGAGCGAAACGAAGAGAUGCGUGUAAGAGAGUAAGGCCCAGUCAAACCUGAAUCUGUUGUGAUGAAAAGAACACUUCAAACUCAGGGAACCACCCCGUGAGGUCCCCAGCACCCACUAUCUAUUUUCAGAGAAGCCAGUGAGACAUGAACCUUACCAGGCAAAGCAGUUCCAGGUGACUAAAGGCCCGAAGAGCGAGGGCAGUGGAGUGCAUACAAAGGAAGAGCAGAAAAUACAACUGGAGCUCUCGUCGAGGCUCAGCGGUGAACCAAUCCGACUGGGAACCAUGAGAUUCGUUAACCACGGAGCCACGACGGGAACUCCGUGUCUUUCAUUUCUUCUCUACACCACUGAGCAGCCUGACCUCUGCUCUUCCUGCCUCUCGCCCCGAAUCCAGCCUCACCUCUGCACGCCCUCCAGGCGGCCGCCAGGAUGCACCUCCUGAAAUCUGUGAGCGGGCUGGCGGGCUGGCUGUUCCACCGCCCCAGGACCCACUUCCCUAGAAAGGACUGUAUGUUCCUGUUCCGUGAGGUUGACCCUGGCUGUGUGCUGUGCUCUGGCCAGUGCAACGUCGUGGGUGUGACACACAGUGUCCUGGAAAAGCCGUGGGAGGCCCCAGGAGUUUCCACCAGCCCUCGGCUUCCGCGGUCCAUGGCGAGAACAGUCCUAGACAGAGACCGCGCUUCCGAACCAGGGCCUGGGUCGGGGCUUCCCCUGUGGCUCACACCAAACAGGGCCCGGGGAUUUCUCUUCUCCGAGACUGUCCCCCGCGCUGGGGAGGCAGGGAGCGGACCUGAGCGUGGCGGUGAUGAGCAGCAGACGGACCCCGGCCCCAGCAUCCCUACAGAGCCCUGCCUCAGGGCCGCCACGACCACACCCGCGACGCCCUCCCUCAGCUCCAAACGCUUGGUCCACAAACACUGCCUCCCCUGAAAAGGCGUCCACCUGCCGCGGUGCACUGCCCCCUCCCUCCCGCAGGUGUCAGACCCGCCUCUCCAGCCCCUGGCAGUCCCUGGGAAUAAGGUCCGUCUCCCUUUCCUUUGCUCCUUUGUGCGCUUGGUGCCCAGCACAGUUGUCCCUGGAUCUGUUCAUUUGCUGCGGGUUUUUUUAAGACCGCGUUAUUUAGAAACACUGACACUUUCAGUCUUCGUAACAUCAUUUCUGUCUGAACACCUAACA
rnacentral:lncRNA from 1 species